CAACCACAACCACUGCAGGAACAACUACAACCACUGCAGGAACAACCACAACAACUGCAGGAACAACCACAACAACUGCAGGUACAACAACAACCACUGCAGGCACUACAACCACACCUGCAGGUACUACAACUACAACUGCAGGAACAACCACAACCACUGCAGGUACUACAACCACAACUGCAGGUACUACAACCACAACUGCAGGAACAACUACGACAACUGCAGGCACAACCACAACAACUGUAGGUACAACAACUUCAGAAGUAACAACACCUCAGGAGUAUGAAGGUUCCACAACUACAGGCCCAACAACAACAACGGCAGGAACUACUACAACAACUGCAGGUACAACCACAACAGCUGCAGGUACAACCACAACAGCUGCAGGUACAACCACAACAACUGCAGGGACAACUACAACCACUGCAGGUACAACCACAACAGCUGCAGGUACAACCACAACAACUGCAGGAACAACUACAACCACUGCAGGUACUACAACCACAACUGCAGGAACAACAACAACAACUGCAGGAACAACCACAACAGCUGCAGGAACAACCACAACCACUGCAGGUACUACAACCACACCUGCAGGUACUACAACUACAACUGCAGG